rnacentral:rRNA from 1 species
AACGAACGCUGGCGGCAUGCCUAAUACAUGCAAGACGAACGGUAAGUUGAGUAGCAAUACUUAGCCAAGAGUGUCGUACGGGUGCGUAACACGUAUGCAACCUACCCUAUACAGGAGGAUAGCCUAGGGAAACCUGGAUUAACCCUUCAUAGUAUUAUUGGAUGGCAUCAUUUGAUAAUUAAAACUGAGGUGGUAUAGGAUGGGCAUGCGUCUGAUUAGUUAGUUGGCGGGGUAAUGGCCCACCAAGACGAUGAUCAGUAGGGGUUCUGAGAGGAAGAUCCUCCACACUGGCACUGAGAUACGGGCCAGACUCCUACGGGAGGCAGCAGUAGGGAAUAUUUGGUCAAUGGAUGCAAGUCUGAACCAGCCAUGCCGCGUGCAGGAAGAAGGCCUUCUGGGUUGUAAACUGCUUUUGCCAGGGGGAUAAAAUUUCCAUGCGUGGAAAACUGAAGGUACCUGGUGAAU